GGAUCAAUACCGGUAUAUUAUUGUUCAAUGAAAGAUCAGAUACAUUUAGGAGUAUGUAUGUAUCUCCUCUCUAGUUUCUUAUCACGGUCACGCAUGCCCUCCAUGAGCAAUAGCAUGAGUCUGCUUACACCCGUGAGACCUGCUAUCAUUAGGGAAAACAUGGUUUAAUACCUUAUUAUCGCACAUGCAUACUACAAACAGUAGUACAAUAUAUAUACGUGCAAUAAAAACUAUAUGUAAUUUUUUCACCAGAUCAAAUAAUGCCGGGGUAGGACCAAGCGGUGGGCACUUUCUUUGAAGGUCUCGGAUCUUGGAUGGGUCAUAUUUCUGCUUGUCUUUGUCUGUAAGAAGACUGACGAUGCAGUCCAACCAUUUUUUAUCGGUUGCUGCCUGCUUCUCUAACGCCAUCCGACAGCAGGCCUCAAGGAUCCAACCAGGAGGUGCCCCCUUCUCGAUGACUAUGGCACAGACAUGAAGGAGUCGGUCCUUCUCUUGCCGGGUACAAACACUACCACUCACAGAACCUACUAGACAAACUGCCGCAGCCACGACCAGGAGGAGCAAUGCUGCUUUCCCAGCUGUCAUCUUGGUGCUUUCUCUGUAGUUGAACGAACGAGCAAAGCCAAAGCAAGAAAAGCUUGAUGUUAUAUGAACUUGAGA
rnacentral:lncRNA from 1 species